rnacentral:misc_RNA from 1 species
AAAAAAAAAAUAUUCUGAACAAGGAAGGACAAAAGUCAUAGCAUAGUUUAGCCUAGACAACUGCAGAAAAAGUAACAAAAAGGAAACAAAUCAGCGCUAAUCAGAGCAAAAUACAGCAGCAGAGUACCUAAUCAACAAACAUUAUUGACUUAAUAUGAUAAAAAUAGAGAUUAAUAGAACCUUGAUUUUAAAUAAUCUUAAACAACCAUGUACAAGUAAAUUAA